AUUUCAGCCAGCAGGAGCAAUCCAGGGGCAGUCCUGAGAAAGAGCUUGUCAUAGGCGAAGCUGGCACUGCUCGAGAAAUUCUCACUGUAUGUGCUUGCUGUGGUGUUCACAGUCUGAGACCGGGGUCGUUCCUCGUCCAUCUCCCCUAAACAGAUCCCCCCCCAAAAAAAAAUAUUUAGAUAGAAUCCUUCAUACAGCCUCGUACAUCUCUAACCCCCUCCAACUGGGAAUCAGAUCUCUGAUCUACAGUAAUGAUGCUCCAACAAAAAAUAUCACAACAGUAACUACAAAAUGGGGGCUGCCUGUCCUAUUUGUGCCCAAUCUUAAU